CAAAUAAAGUUUUGUAAAACACAGAAAAGAAGUAAGCGCAUGAGGGCUCUUUCCUCGGGGGUCUUGUCCGUUUUCCUUCGUCAAUGUGUUUUUACAACUUGCAUUAGUUAAUCAAAGCGUCUGUUCCCUCUGGACAUGACAGGGGGGGUCAGUCAUUGGCCAAGACUGAUGGGUCACGUCAUCUGCUUCAAUCGCGGAUCGAAUUUCCUCGCUGUGCUCCCAGCAGCCUAUGGCGGAUGAAGCGAUCUAUAGUUGUGUUGUGCGUAACAUGGUGCCAGAGAGAGGCCGACCAAGCGCUGUUAACCGCGGCAUCUUACAAAGCGUGCCCGAGACAUGGGGCAGCGGCAUAGAAAAGUUCCUGACUCAAGCUGAAGUGGUGAUUCAGGGGGGAGGGGUUCAUCCACCGGUGGAUAAGCUACAGAAUUUAAACCAACGAGCACAUCCUAAACUUUGCCGCGCAGCGAAUAGAACAAGGGUGCUGUUUUUUGCCCUGGACAUUCCCCUGUUCCUGCCUCUCUCCAGCAAGGAUUCCCCCCUUGGCUACUCCCUCUCCCCAUGACCCUUUGUUCGUUCCGACCGGUACUUUCAAAAAGCGCGAGCCUUCAGUCUCCCCUUAAUUCAGGACACCUGCUUGACCUAAGUUCCGGCAAAACUACAAGGCUGCCGUGUCCACAUCCCCGCCCGCGGUUUCUGCCACUCCGAAGCCACGAAAUGGACCAGCAGAGACUCCUUCGGUCAGUUUCACUCUGGAUUAGGGCCGCGUGGUUCGCACAUUCACGUGCACGAUUGGGUCUCUGUAUGGGCCGAUGGCUUAAUACAGAGCGGCGGGAGUAAUCGCGCUCACCAGAGGGGCGCCAGAUCAGUCGCAGAAUCAAAACUUUUUCCGCAAAUGAAAGUGCGGCGAAUCAUCACGGGAAAGCCCAUCUGUUACUGGCCUUGAAAAUGUCCAUCAUCCGGGAAGCCCCACCCACAUCUGACAGCAUUUCAUUGGAUGCGCCGUGCAAAUCUCUGCAACAGCGAGGAGGAGCUUUACGGAAAGAGGUCUCCUGGCAGCGCUCGGAUCGCGGAGUCCAUAAAUCAUUCGCUGGUUUUACGGCCAUUUCUGUUGUGGCAUUUAGAUGGAGUAACCUGCUGGCUGCAUGGUUAUGCCAAUAACUCUUUCCUGAGAUGAGACCUCACCGUGGGACGCCGCGAGGAGUGUUUCCAAGAGCAACUACGGCAGAACGCAAAAUUACACAAAACUCAUCAUGCAAAGCAAAAAACAUAAUUCAACGCAAGGCAUUUUCAAAUGAGUUUGAUUUACAACCAUGAAAACAUAUGAUUUUGUUACAUUUGAGUCUGGAGACCUCAUUUUAUCUGACCAGAAGCACAAACUUGUUGACUGCCCCCACAGCUCUCCCCCCUCCCAGAUUGAAUGGAGGAAAACAAGAAAAGAGAGGGAGGUGGGAACAGGAAGGGAUGCCAGAAACAGUUGACAGGGGAGGGUAAAUGUGCAUGACACUUCCUGUAUAAAAAAUGCUUACUGGGUAAAGGGGACAUCUAGAAAUGUCAUACUUGUAUCAUUCUUUACCUGUAUGCUUCUCCGGUGUCUCUCUGAGUUUUGAGUUAAUCCCUUAGCUCUUCCCGCUCCACACACAUCCCAGGCCUGCGGUCACAGUGGGUGGAAGGGGAUGGGGGGGUGGGGGGGUGGGGGGGUGGGGGGGUGAGGAGAGAAGACAGACAUCUGUCCAUAAACAGGAACAGUCCAGCAGCCUGUUCAUACAUGCAUAACUCAGGCAUGAGGCCUGCAAUGCAGCCUCGUAAAUAACUCCGCCCAUCACCCGAUAAUGUCUGCUUAAUGUUUGCUCUAUAAACCCCCCUCCCUCUCCCCUUCCCUCCUCCACCCCCCACCACCCACCC